rnacentral:rRNA from 1 species
AACGAACGCUGGCGGCAUGCCUAACACAUGCAAGUCGAACGAGACCUUCGGGUCUAGUGGCGCACGGGUGCGUAACGCGUGGGAACCUGCCCUUAGGUUCGGAAUAACUCCCCGAAAGGGGUGCUAAUACCGGAUAAUGUCUUCGGACCAAAGAUUUAUCGCCUUUGGAUGGGCCCGCGUUGGAUUAGCUAGUUGGUAGGGUAAAAGCCUACCAAGGCGACGAUCCAUAGCUGGUCUGAGAGGAUGAUCAGCCGCACUGGGACUGAGACACGGCCCAGACUCCUACGGGAGGCAGCAGUGGGUAAUAUUGAACAAUGGGCGAGAGCCUGAUCCAGCAAUGCCGCGUGAGUGAUGAAGGCCUUAGGGUUGUAAAGCUCUUUUACCCGGGAUGAUAAUGACAGUACCGGGAGAAUAAGCACCGGCUAACUCCGUG